rnacentral:rRNA from 1 species
UACGUAGGGAGCAAGCGUCGUCCGGAUUUAUUGGGCGUAAAGAGCUCGUAGGCGGUUCGGUAAGUCGGGUGUGAAAACUCUGGGCUCAACCCGGAGAGGCCACCCGAUACUGCUGUGACUUGAGUCUGGUAGGGGAGCACGGAAUUCCUGGUGUAGCGGUGAAAUGCACAGAUAUCAGGAGGAACACCGGUGGCGAAGGCGGUGCUCUGGGCCAGUACUGACGCUGAGGAGCGAAAGCGUGGGGAGCGAACAGG